GAUGAACGCUGGCGGCGUGCCUAAUACAUGCAAGUCGAGCGAACAGACGAGGAGCUUGCUCCUCUGACGUUAGCGGCGGACGGGUGAGUAACACGUGGAUAACCUACCUAUCAGACUGGGAUAACUUCGGGACACCGGAGCUAAUACCGGAUAAUAUAUUGCACCGCAUGGUUCAAUAGUGAAAGACGGUUUUGCUGUCACUUAUAGAUGGAUCCGCGCCGCAUUAGCUAGUUGGUAAGGUAACGGCUUACCAAGGCAACGAUGCGUAGCCGACCUGAGAGGGGGAUCGGCCACACUGGAAGGGAGACACGGACCAGACUCCUACGGGAGGCAGCAGUAGGGAAUCGUCCGCAAUAGGCGAAAGUCUGACGGAGCAACGCCGCGUGAGUGAUGGAGGUCUUCGGAUCGUAAAACUCUGUUAUUAGGGAAGAACAAAUGUGUAAGUAACUAUGCACGUCUUGACGGUACCUAAUCAGAAAGCCACGGCUAACUACGUG
rnacentral:rRNA from 1 species